AGUGAACGCUGGCGGUAGGCCUAACACAUGCAAGUCGAACGGCAGCACAGUAAGAGCUUGCUCUUACGGGUGGCGAGUGGCGGACGGGUGAGGAAUACAUCGGAAUCUACUUUUUCGUGGGGGAUAACGUAGGGAAACUUACGCUAAUACCGCAUACGACCUACGGGUGAAAGCAGGGGAUCUUCGGACCUUGCGCGAUUGAAUGAGCCGAUGUCGGAUUAGCUAGUUGGCGGGGUAAAGGCCCACCAAGGCGACGAUCCGUAGCUGGUCUGAGAGGAGGAUCAGCCACACUGGAACUGAGACACGGUCCAGACUCCUACGGGAGGCAGCAGUGGGGAAUCUUGGACAAUGGGCGAAAGCCUGACCAAGCAACGCCGCGUGGGUGAGGAAGGCUUUCGGGUCGUAAAGCCCUUUUAUGGGGAAAGAAAAAAAGCGGGUAAAACCCCCGCUGUUCUGACGGUACCCAAAGAAUAAGCAACGGCUAACUUCGUG
rnacentral:rRNA from 1 species